AUGUGCUGGGAUGGAGCUGGCUGUGGAGUGGGGAGAAGACACUUUGAAAGUUCCUCACAGACCUGUCUAUUGAUGUUCUUGGUUCCACUCUUCAGAUCUCAGCCAGUAAUCAAUCAGGAGUCCCCACUGUUGAUAAAGUACCAGAUAUACUAUGUCUCAGAGUUAGAAGUGGCCAAGGUGAGAGGUGAACAGCAUCGAAAAGGAUAAAAACCUGAAGGUAUCCCUCACAGGCCAAACACUGAAGAUAUUAGCAGAAACAUAUCAUCUUUCUAGAAUGGCUUCAGCAAUUUGUCCAUUUAAGCAAAUAAUAAAGUCCUUGAGAUGGCUUUGAAUUCCA
rnacentral:lncRNA from 1 species